ACCAUCUGGAGAGAGAGGGAAUAGGGUAUCCUCAGAAGACAUCAAGGAUGGUGCCUAUCAUAGACAGCUUCGUUUCGGUGAAUAACCUAGACUUUCUAUGUCAGCAAGGAAAAAAAUCUGGGGUCUCAACUUUGGAUUGAUAGUCAGAUACACAAAACUAGUCAAAAACCAGACACUGCCUCAGACCCUUGAUUCCUGAUGGAUUCCCAAGAGAUUCUGUUCUGCUUAAAUCUGCCAUGCUUUUUCCAUAUAUAUAGAAGGUUUUGUUCUUUUAAAAUCGUUGCUAUAUUUUUUCGCAACAGCUACUUUUAAAUUCCCUAGACAGGGCCAGUGAGAUGAGUCACCACCUACAGGUGAGUUCCAUCCUUAGGAUAACAUGAUGUAAGCAAAUACCAACUUAUACAAGUUGGCUGUGACCUACACACACACAUACACACACACACACACACACAUACACACACACACACACACACACACACAUAAUAAAUGCACUUAUUUUUCAUAAGCUCUAGACAUUUCUACCCUCAUGGAGGGAAAACUCACUUGGUGUCUUUAACUAAAAGUAAGCCUUUAAAAGAAACUAAGUUAUAGGUAUCAAAAGCAUAAAAUUUAAAAAUUAGCUGGUAUGGUGGCAUACACCUUUAAAACCAGCACUCAGGAGGCAGAGGUAGGCAGAUCUCUGAGUUUGAGGCCAGCUUGGACUACAGAGAAAGUUCCAGGACAGUCAGGGGUACACAGAGAAACCAUGUCUCAAAAAUCCAAAACAAAACAAAAGCUUUAACAUGCGCUGAUAAGAAAAAAAGUUAAAAAUCUUAUAUAGAACAUAAAAAUUAUUUCUAUCUAAGUAAUUUAUAUUAUUUUUAAUAUGAGAAUAAAUCUAAAAAUAGAACGCAUUAGGUAAUUGUAAAAUUAAAUAACUCUAACAGAAGCAGAAUUAUAACAUGAGCUCAAAUAUAAAAUGAACUUGUAUUUUAGAACAAAGUCAUAGAAGACAGAGACAAGCAAUUGUAUCAAUGACAAACCAAGCCACAAUCUGUCUUAAGGUAUUUCAGAGGGGUGACUUUAUGACCAAAAUAACACAGUGGUUUCUGUCAGUGAGUCCUAGAGGAGCAGAGCUUCGAAGUCAGACUCCAGCCAUGUCUGGCAGAAGCCCUGAGGAUGCCCAGUGCACACCAAGACCAGAUGCCAGGUACACAGGGCUGCAGCAACAGCGCAUGCUAGGACCUACACAACGGGGAAGCCAGGCCCCUGGGAAGCUGGCCAGUGACCAAACAGAAGUCUGAAGAUGACACAGGAUAGACCUCUGUCUUCCCCAAGGAACAGCUGAUCCCAUUCCUGAGGUUCACUCUGGGAGUCAUAGAAAACUCUUUAAUUCUCCAGCGUAUUUCUCAGAAUCUAAAAUGCAAAGUGGAAGAUUAUGGAAAUAAUUACUUUGCUAGACCUGAUGCACAAAGUGCAGAGCUAGGCCACACCCCUCCCCUCUUCAUUUCUCCUUCCUAGCCGCCCACACACAGCUUUCUGCUGCUGCCCCUCAAAUGCGUACUCUAACAAACCCUCCGGGUGCUCUGAGCCCCAUUAUGGCAACUUCUGAAAUCUAGGAGCACAUAGGCCUAUCAGGAAUUCACCUAAAAUAUCACCUUGCUUCUCAGAUCUGGAAGAAACGGGUUCACCUUUCUUUCCAUUCCGGUGACAUUGCUCUCAAAAGAUGGAUGACAGGGACUGGUUAUGUGGACCGGAGUCCACAAAAGGUUAGAACAACAACAAAAAAGUUGUUUGGAUAAGAAAUGUCACUGAUGCAUGUUAAAAAUAAAUGUUCUAUAAACAAUCCUUUCUGGAAAUUUUUGAUAACAGAAACUCCACAGACCAAUGACUGAUGCAGGGAAAUGUCGUCGUUCCCAGGGCCUGUGCCUGUUACUGCUUUAAAAUAAAACAAUAAAACAGAGGAGGCUUUGCUGCAUGACCACCAAGACGUUCUAGAACCUUCUACGCUGAGCCCAUCAGCACUGUACUAAGAAUACAAGCGGCUUGAGGUACGGUGCUCUUUAAACCUCAUAAGAAAGUUUGGUUUCCAAAGAUACAUAAAGCUGCCCAGCGGCCAUCCUUUGAGAGACACAGGGCAUCUAAGCACUUGGGUAAACCUAGAAAGAAACCAGGCCAAUAACUAAGUUCAAAGGACUUGAGGACCUCUAGGACACGAGACUCCAAAGCUCGUGACUAGCUACUUGUGAUGGUCAAUGUCAGCUGUAAACGUGACAGGAUCUGGAACCGCCUAGUAGACAAGCUGCUGUGCACAGUCAUGAGAGAUUUAGAUUAGGUUGGCCCUGGGCAUGCCUGUAGGGAUUAUCUUGAUUAAGUUAACUGAGGUGGACAGACGCAUUAUAAAGGAGAACGGCGGGGACCCUGGCUUCAGUGUAAACUGCAUGAAAAGAAGCUAUCUAUCAGAGCAUCCACCACUCUGCUUUCUGCAUAUAGACUCGGAAUGUCCCCAAACCCUUCCUCCCUUAAGCUGUUGUCAGGUAUUUUAUCAAGGUCAUGGAGAAGGACUGAGAAGCCACUCGGCUCCACACUCCAGUGCUAAUAGCAUCACUAAUGGGGUGGCUUCAGGUUGGGGAGUCUUUUCAUAGCAGCCCAAUUCCUCCCCAGCCCUACUGCACCUCAUCAGUCACACACAGUAGCCUUUGUUGGUGCCUUCGUGGUAUAUCAUGAAAGCUCACUAAACAAACCACUUGAGCCCAUCUCAGUGGUGUGGGAGUAGGAAGUGACCUCUGUUCAUUCUUUUUCUUUCUUUCUUUCUUUCUUUCUUUCUUUCUUUCUUUCUUUCUUUCUUUCUGUCUGUCUGUCUGUCUGUCUGUCUGUCUGUCUUUCCUUCCUUCUUUCUUUUUUCUCCUUUUAAAAGUUUUUACUUUUAUUUUUUUUAUUUUCAUUUUUUGGAGACAGGGUCUCACUCUGUAGCCCAGGCUACCUGAACUCACUCACUAUUGGGCUCUCCAUCCUUCUGCCUCAGCCUUCUAAACACUGGAGUGAUAGGCUCAUGUUAUAAAAUCUCUCUUAAUCACAACUUCUUUUAAUUUAAAAGUCUCACUUUGUAGCUCGCUAAGUGACUCAGGCUCAUCUCAAACCCAUGACACUUCUUUUGCCUUGACCUCCUGAGUAGCUGUGAGGAAGGAACGAGCCACCACACUUGGUUUACCUCAGCACUUUGAUAUGUCAGGCUGAGCAAACAGCUCUCACUGGACAGACAGCCAUCAGGGCUGAACCCCUCCUCAGGGUUCUGCUUCUGCCACCUGAGAACCACAAUGCCUCAUUUGUCAAAUAGAGGAGAACCAAAUCGUUUUUAGUUGGUAAUCUUCUAUACCUAUAUUAAUGUUGAUCCACAAUAAGGAUUAAUUCUCUCAACCGACACAGAAGGCUUCACUUUCAGGUCUCUCAACUGAACAGCAGCAAGCAGGAUCCCAUACAAGUUCUAGGGACCCUGACAAUUUUACAGCCAUCUUAAAGAGCCAAAAUGCCCAGGGUUAACACCUACUUCAGUCUUUAAGGAAUAGAGACCUGGUUGUAAAUCCAGAGCUUCCUCAAAGAUGACAGCUAGGUUUUCUAGUUAGCCCCUCCAUCUGCAUUAUGUAGACCUGUCCAAGCAUAGUUUUUAGGUCCUUCUGGCAUGGGUUCCAAAUAUCUGUUCUGGAAUGCCAGUAUGCAAUGUAUGUGUUUGUACGAAUGUGUGCUCAUGUGCUACCCCAUCUAGGCAAGUGUGGGGGUCAGAGGUUGAUGUCUGUUCUACUCGAUUGCUUCCCUACUAUUUUUUGAGGUAGGAUUUCUUGAUGAACCUGGAACUCACUAUUUCUGCUGGACUGGCUGACCACCAAACCCCCAGGAUCUGCCUGUCUGCACCUACCUGGGUUACAUACAGACACUGCCACUCUGACUUUUAAGUUGGUCUGGGGAUCUGAACUCAGGUCCUCAUGAUUGCAUGGCGGACUCUAGAAGCCUGCCUGUCUCCUCCUCCUCAGGUGCAACAAGCACAUGCCACCACGUCCACAUUUAUUUUUUUUUAUUAGAUAUUUCUUUACUUACAUUUCAAAUGUUAUUCUCUUUCCCAGUUUCCUGUCCAUAAGCCCCAACCCCUCCCCCUCCCCCAUACAGAUAUUCCCCCAUCCAUCCCCCUUACUGCCUCCCCAUAUUGCCCUGCACUGGGGGGUCCAACCUUGGCAGGACCAAGGGCUUCCUUUUCCCCACAUUUAUUUUUAAACAUCAGUUCUAGGUUGGAACUCAGGUCCUCAUACUUGCAAGGCAAACAUUUUGCCAGCAACCACCCCACAAGUUAAGCAGUGGCUUUUUGAAAGGUUAAGUAUCACUUGCCUCCCAGGAAUGAGUUUCCUAGACAAAAACAAAACAAACAAAACAAAAAAACAAAACAAAAAACAAAAACCAGAAAAAACAUACAAACAAACAAUCAAAAAACCUGAGCCACAGACCUGCCUGAGUCCUGUGAUCUUUUCUCCCGAAAUCACCCACAGAGUCCUAGGUGAUGCCACCAUUUCAGAACAGAAGGCUGACUACAAUUCCCAAUAAAUACUGUCCUUUUCAAGACUGAAAAUGGUCAAAGUGGCUGUGGUAGACAUAAGCAUGUGUCUAGGAUACCCCUAGAUAAAAGAGGGUGGCUUCUAAUAGGUUUUCUCUGCUGAUGAAAUAAGUCAAUUCGAGCUGAAUUAAAAGUAUAAAAGUAGGGUUUUUUGGGAAUGGCUCCCAGGUGAAUUACCUGUCUUAGGGGACAAGACUGAAGAAGUCACCAUGCAAGCACGGGAGACAGAGAGGUGAGGAGGGAGAGGAAGAAGCAGAGAAAGAGAGAGACAGAGAGAGAGAGAGAGAGGGAGGGAGGAAGGGAGAGAGAGAGAGAGAGAGAGAGAGAGAGAGAGAGAGAGAGAGAGAGAUCUGAGGUGGCUAAUGGUCCUUUUAAUCAGAAACACACACCUGACACACCUGAUGGUGUGUGAUGUAAGCAGUUGCUAGGUUCCUGAGACCAGGCCAGUAGAACUGUCUGUAUACUAACAGGGUUAGGAGUCACAGAUUUGAAACCUACAAGCUUCUAAGGGUGAAGAAGAGAGACUCGGGUCACUGACACCAUCCUGUCACACAGCAUGUCCUAGCAAAUAGCAGCCAGAGUCUGUUGUUCACCUUCUUUCCCCUGUCUGACUUCAAGACCUUACACCCCCACACACAGCUCUUGUCUGGGAAAUAUGUCUUGUGUAGACAGGGAGCCCCAGAUUCCUGCCAAAGGUCCUCCCAAGUCAUACAGUCAUGCUGUUGCUUGCCAACAGGGAAGCCCAACCCUUUAAAAUCUCACCACUGUUUCACUUUCCAACUUACCUGUGGUGUAGCUCCUCUUGGAACAUUCUAGAACUCAAAAUCAUUUAUUACUUUUGCCUCCAAAAGAACUAGGGGCACAGCUGAGAAAAUGCAUAUAAAGAGUUACUGAGUACAUUUUACACGCGGAUCACGUGCUGUAAGGAAGGAGCCACCAAAUAGAAAGGAAGUAGAUCUGUUACCAGAGCUGCAAUGUCAGAGGGCAGGCUCUGGAAGCUCUAAGAGAAACUUGGCUAUGAGUCUUCAAAUAAGUCAAACAAACAAUAGAAAAGCAGAGAAAGGAAAUUUAUUCAAUUUGGCCCACAUUGGGAAGAGGAAAUUAAGAAAGAGGUUCAGUUACCCCUCAAGUCCGUCUUGUCCCCCACUGAGGCGGCUGAAAUGAGGAUUAGGUCCAAAUGGAGGGCAAGAGGCAUCAUAUACAGAUAAGCAGUCCUGUUGAAGGUGGGUCCCACCCAUCGCUGCCCUGUAAGGUCUUGGUUCCCAUUUCUCCUAUCAUGAGGUCUGACAAAUAGUAUGGAAUCCUUUUCAGGAGGCAAGUUCCUCCCCUAGCUGGCAUCAGAACUUAUCCUUUUCUUCCCUCAGCAUGAGAUUCCUCAGGAGAUCAGUUAUAUGGGGCACAUUGUUUUCAUAUGUGAGGCCAAAAGGAGGGAUAUGAGUCAGUCUCAGUCUCUCUCUCUCUCUCUCUCUCUCUCUCUCUCUCUCUCUCUCUCUUUCUCUCUCUCUCCCUCCCUCCCUCUCUCUCUCUCUCUCUCUCUCUCUCUCUCUCUCUCUCUCUCUCUCUCUCUCUAGUUAAACUUUUCCCUACAGGGAAAACUGUCUCCAGUUCCCAAGGCAGGUGUCAUUCCCAACUCUGCAAUCUAUUCUCACCUCUAUAAAGAUCUUAAAGAUAGGAGGAGGAUAUCAAACCCAAGGUCUACUCUGAAACAGGAGGUCUUCAGUUUAGAAAGUAAAGCCAGCCAGAGCUAAGUAUUAUCGAGUCUACAGGAUUCACCCUAUGUGAUGGUCUACACUGUCAACUUGAAGAUCCUAAAAUCACCUCAGGCACUCCCUAAACUGGGUUAACUGAGGUGGGAAGUCUCAUUCUGAAUGUUGUAAGUACCAUUCCAUAGGCUGGGGUCCUGGACCCAAAAGACAGAAAUCCGGCUGAGUACCAGUACUCAUUUCUGCCGAGUUCCUAUGUGACCAGCUGCAUUAAGCUCCUGUCCAAUGCCUUCUCCAACAGGAAGAACUAUACCCUAGACUACAAACUAGAAUAAACCCUUCCUCCCCUAAGUGUCUUUUGCUGGGUAUUUUGUCACAGCAAUGAGAAAGUAGCUGGUACACCCUAUUUGCUCACGAGUCACAGGAAUAGGCCUGAAGGCUUAUUUCAUAAAGAGCUCUCCCAGGGGGCUAAAAUGAAAAAUUCUGGAAACAAGAUGGCAAACAACUCCAAGGCAUGCUGUGUAGACAGGGUGAGCCUGUACCACAUUGGUUCCCUGCUCUAGAUUCUAACUCUCACUCCAGCAGUGUUCUCUGCUCAUAUCAAGGUAUUAUGGGGCUAGAGAGAUGGCUCAGUGGUUAAGAGCACUGACUGCUCUUCCAGAGGUCCUGAGUUCAAUUCCCAGCAACCACAUGGUGGCUCACAACCAUCUGUAAUGGGAUCUGAUGCCCCCUUCUGGUGUGUCUGAAGACAGUACAGUGUACUCAUAUAAAUACAUCUUUGGAAAACAAACAAACAAACCCUUAAAAAUAAAAAAAAAUGUAAGUGUAAAGACAUAUUUUAAAAAAAAAGAUAUUAUGAAGCGAAAAAGGAGUCUUUCCCCCAAUACUAUACUGCAAGGAGAACUGUGACUAUGUAAUAUGGCUUCACACAGAAACAACUGCAUAUAAGCUUUCUCUCUCAAGUAUUCUGCAUGUGAAAACAUAGAAAAGAUGUUUCCUUCAUAAGAAAGACUGGAAGGAACUGGAUUCUUUGCUUGCUGUCCCUUGGUGCUUCCUAUUAAAGGCCAUGCCGUCUACCCAUGAUGUCCUGUAUUCUAAAAUCUUACUGAUCUACCGGCCCCCAGCAAGGGUCAUUUCACCAUGUGUCAAUCAAUACCCAACAAGCAGGUUCUCUUGGGGAAGUGUCUACAGUGGCAUUCAGAGGGUGGACCCUCCCAGGAGGAGUUUCUACCUGCCAUGGGAAGGAUCCUACCUCCAAACAAUUGCACAACCUAUAGCAUCUUAGCAUACAUACCAGGUUAAUGGCAUGACUGAAAUUUCAAGUCAGACAAAGCAAACAAAAAGAUCAGUGGAGAUUUCUGUUAGGGGUUAGUAAAGACAAACUUGCUGAAUUCACCACCUUUGUAUGUGUUAGCAUACAAAGGACAAUAGCCAUGCGGGUAGAAAUCAGUGCAUUUACUGGCCGCACAUCCUGAGGCCUUUCCACUGUCUACACUGUUUGUUGCUAUGGUUUCACAAUCUCAUAAGAUGCCUCAUUCCUCGUCAUAUCUCCCUUUCUCGUCUCUUCUAUGAUAGAUGUGGACAGGUGCAAGAGCCACAGAGAAUGUUGUGCACCGUGGCCAGAGUCACCACUUGGUAGCUCUGUUCUUUGGCCAAGUGACUUAUUCUCUUGUGUCAGUUUCCCCCACAUCCAAUGGCACUGUCUGUCUUUUACAGAGGAGUAUCAUGAGCACAAAUGAAAAGAAACACAACCUGAGCCCAUCACAUCCAAGGCCAUCAAGAGACAGGAGCCUGGCAUAACUGUCAUCUGAGAGGCUUCGCUCAGCAGCUGAUGGAAACAGAUGCAGAGACCCACAACCAAACGUAAGACUCAUCUGACAUCCAUAGGAACCACACUGGCCAGGACAUCCCACUAGCCAUGUAAGCCUUUUUAUUAAAACUACAUUUCAAUUUUAUCUUUUACAUGUUGUUAUAGUUGCCUGAAUGUAUGUUUAUGUGCUGUGUAUUCCUCCUGCCUGUAGAUUUUGAAGAGAGCAUGUAACCUCAUAGAACUGGGUGCUAGAAAACAAAUUACAUAUUACAGGCUUUUAAAAGACGUUUUAAAAUCCAAACUGCAGAUCAAACUUUCGAAUGUAAUGAUGGUACUAAAGCAAAUAAUCCAUUUUUAACAUAGGGGAAGUUUUAGGCCCACAGAUAUAAAAUGCAAAGUAUUAAGAAUAAUCAUUAGCAAUAAAGGCAGUGAGAGAAAGAUAGUUCGUAAUUAGAGCAGGCAGAAAUCAAUCUUUGAUUUUUGAUAUUUCUUGGACUCAGUCUUAUUUCCUGAGACUUUCUGGUCAGUCUCACAUAUGCGUUUCACUUAAAAAUUCAGCAAUAGAACUAAUUCUAUAUCACAUCUCACUGGCUCAGAAACUCAGCCUCACACGGAUGAUUCACAUAUGUACACACACCAGCUUUACUGAAAGGUCAUAGAAUUCAGUCUUUUAGACUGAGCACUCAAAUGCUUUGUGGGUAGCUACAUGGACAUCAUACCUUCUGCCUGUAGGCAAUCACUCCAAUCCCUACCAGGCCCUUCACCCAGCUCCUAGCAUCUCUAGCCUGGUCCAAUUAGCUGGUUUACCUGUUCUGGAAAUUUCAUAUAAAUGGAGUAACUAACACAGGACUGCAUGAUAUUUGUUACUUUUGAUACAAGGCCUCAUGUAGCUGUUUGGCCUAAAACUCAAUACGUAGCUGAGGAGAACCUUGAGCUUCCGAUCUUCCUGCCCCUACCUUCUGAGUAUUAGGAUACCAGGUACAUACCACAAUACCUAAUUUAUAUCCUAGGGAUCAGACACGUGAUUCAUGCAUGCUAUGCAAGCAUGUUCUCAAUUGAGCUUCAUCCCAGCUCCCAGUAACGUGUUUUCUAGGCUCACCGAUGGUGUGCACGCAUAUGCUGGGGUUUCUGUCCAUCUCAAUGCCUAGUGAUGUUCUUUUAUGUGCGGACUAGACUUUUUUAAUCCAUUUAUCCAAUAAUAAUCCAUUUCUCCCAAGAAUAAUGGUUCUAAACUUUCAGUAAAUCUGAAGUUAAGCACUUGCCUAGCUCCAGCCUGGCAUUCACUCGGUACACAGGGAAAGAUGGCAUAGUUCAAAUACCCAGCUCACCUUCUCCUGGGCUGACUUGACCACACUGGAUACCUCCCCAACUGUCAGUUGCAAGGACUGUGGCCGUGGGUCCUUCUGGAAAGAGAGACGCAGUGGACCCUGUAAAAGAGAGGCUGUAUGAAGAGGAAUGCAUAAGUGUAGUUUGGAUUUUAUUUAUUUUUAAAUACACACUUGCUACAAAAUCAAAACUUAAAAAACUGUAACAAAACAUCCCAUCAAUGGUUAAAUAUCAGUAGGUUAUGCACAUGGCGUGCACACGCACGCAUGUGUGCCAUACAUGCGUGCGCGCGCACACACACACACACACACACACACACACAGAACCAGACAAUGUUGGAUCUUGUUCGGCAUUUGGCAAGCAGGACCCCACAAAGAGGGAACGACAGAGAUGGCAAUUGACUCAAAGAUAAAGCAAAGAAACAUUGUGCUGAUCCUGCUUUCGGAGGUCAUAGGGGCUCUGGCACUUGAGGUACCAUCUCCCUUCUCCUCUUCCACUGCUGAGCAGAAACCCAGAGCCUGGCAUCUCUCUGGGCAGUGAAAUGACACAGAAGACUACUGACUGGAAAGGAACCUGUCUAAUGGCUAUGUCUCAAAUCUUUACCUCACAGCCAUCCAAAGCUGCCUGGUUCCCCAGCUACAUGGUUCAAUAACUUCAUGCUUUCUCCAGUGAACUCUUGUGUCUUUCUUGCUUUGUUUUGUUUGUGUGUGUGUGUGUGUGUGUGUGUGUGUGUGUGUGUGUGUGUGUGUGUGUGUGUGUAUGUAGAUCAGAGGAAAUUCUUGGGUCUCAGUCCUCACCUUUGUUCAACCUUGUUUUCCAGGAACUCUCAUGCCUCUCAUCUCACCAUAUGAACUCUAUAAAGUUAUAAAGACACAUGCUACCACGCUUGACUUUCACAUGUGUUCUGUGAAUUCGAACUCAGAUCCUCAUACUUGUAUGGCAAAUGACUUACUCACUGAACCAGCCCCCUCUUUUUCUAGGGCAGCGGAAGUGAGUGGUGUCUUUUGAGUUAAAAAUUUCCACUGAGGGCUGGGGAUAAAGCUCUGCUGGCCAAGUUCCUGUCUAACAUACAUGAGGCUUUAGAUUCAUUGUGCUACAUGCUGCUGAAAUCCUAGCACCUAAGAGUUAGAGGGAGAAAGAUCAAAAGUUCAAAGCUUCUCCUGACUACAUAUUGAGUUUGAUAUCAGCCUAGGUUAUACAAGACCCUGUUUUGUUUUGUUCUUGUUUUUUUUUUGUUUGUUUUAAAUCUCCAAAUGUCAGAUAUAUUAAAUCGAUGCCCUAAAACAGUAAAAUUGAUGCCUUAUAUAAGUAAAUAUGGGCUUGGACAGCGAAUCAAGGACCGUCCUCUUAAAAUGAGUUCUCUAUAAAGCCCCAGAUUGUUUAUCAAGAUGCCCUUAGAUUGAAACCUUCUUUAACUUUUCCUGCCAGAGAGCCUCUCCUAUCUAACUUCUGACUGGGUGGCAAGAAGCUGCUGCCCUUUGUGUGUCCUAUAAGCCAGGACUCCAUGACAGUGAGACAGUUACCUACAGGGGUACGAGCAAGGAUAGAAGACAGAACUGGCAUUGAUGGGACGAGAGAUGCUCUGGCAGCCUAGUGAGGAACAGCCAUGGCAGAGCUCUCUCCUGACUUUCCAAGGAUUCCCAAGUCAAGCAUAAAAUACACAGUUUAUUUAGAUUUAGGAUUUAGAACCUCACCCUGUGCUAACAACACCUGCCUCAUGCCUCAAUCAUGAGAGGUGGUAAAAAUCUACAUAGGAGUGGGGAUGAAAUCACCAUGUCCAGGCUGCUCUGGCACAGUCUGGGGCUGAAGCUGGUUUUGGAAGGAGCAGCUGGCUAAAGACUGUUGAACUUGCCAAAGUCACUGCACUGACCUUGUGGCACAGAGGUCAACAGAGUGCCCAGAUGCUAAGGUAGGUAAGCCAGCAGAACAGAGAGAUGCUAAGGUCAGCCAGCAGAACAAAGCCUCCCAGAGAGAACCCUAGAAACACUGGGCUACAUAGACACAGACUGUCCUGGAGCCAUAGCAGGGCAAAUAGGGUGGAAGCUCCUUCCUGUUGUGCCUUCUGGGCAAAACCACAGAAAGAUCUUUACUGUCAAGGGAUGCUCUUACAAAGGACACAAAUUAUAAGUUAAAAUAAGGAGGGAGAGACUACCUUUCUACUUCUAAUCCACCUACCCCUGGGGCUCAUGAGUAGAGUGAGCCCAAACAAAAACUAAGAAGUUAGAUGGGUGACCUUCAUACGGUGAUGAAAACUGUGGCCCUGUGCAACGAUGGAGAAAAUGUAGAACAAGUAGAGUGCAAGUGGAAGUUCAGCCAUCGGGCCACAAGUGGAAAACUCCAUACUUGAAGCUGUUUCAACCACAGGACUGUUUAAAUCUGUGACAAAUUACUUUCAGGAUGUACUGGCCUGGGCACCAUGCACAUUCCUUAAGAUACCCAUGAAACAGAAGAGAUGUUCAUGUUUAGGCUCAGGAACCAUCCUGAAGGUAUCUAAUUAUGCAUACAUAAAUAUUUCAGAAUCAGACAUCAAGGAUACUUCUGACCCAAGAAUUUCAGGUAGAGAUAUCACAUGUGGCAAAAGUGACAACCUGAGGCACUGGGAAGUCAGGGAGUAAAUUUAAAACUUAGAUACUUGUAGAAGUCAGAGUACAAAUCAGUUGAGUCUCUCUUCUUCCUCGUAGGUUCUAAGGGUUGAACUGUGGGUAUCAUGCUGGCAAUAAGCAUCCUCACACACUGAGCCUUUGCUCCAGCUUGAUUUGUUUUAAGUAUUUUAUUUGUUUCUUACUUAUUUCUUUAGUGAGGCUGAGGAAUGCAUGUGGAGAUCAGAGGACAAUUUGAAAGGGUUAAUUCUCUUCCACAAAAUGGGUUCUAGUGAUUAAACUCAAGUCAUUGGGCUCAACUGCAAGUACCUUUAAACUGAGAUUAGAGAGAAACAAAUACUCACAAGGAAGCAUAACAUGACACAUGAAUAACAUAGCCAUUCAAAGGGAGUAAGAUGGAUAUUAAGAACAUUCAUCCUGACUAUGCACAGGACAUGUCAUCCUGCACAAAUGAUUCUACAAGUUUCACAAUGUGUGGACUCAAAUUGAUCAACUGAUCAUGCAAGAAAACUAAAAGUGAGGAAGGUGGCUGGGGAUGUCUCAAUUGGUAAAGUGCUUGCUGUGCAAGCUUGGACCUGAAUUCCACCCUGACAGGCCAAACAAAAUAGUCAGAUGUACUGAUGCUUGCUUGAAAUCCCAAUAGGGGAGGUUGAGCUGGCAGACACAGGAGGAUACCAGAGGCUCACAGGCCAUGAGUUCCAAGAGAUCCUAUCUCAAAAAACAGUGUAGAUGGCACCUAAGUAAUGACAGCUGUGCACAUGAGUAAUACACACACACACACACACACACACACACACACACACACACACACACACCCCAGAAGAGAGAAGACUAAGAUGAACCCUGCUAUUGAGCUAUGAUAUGCAUUCAUAGCUUAGAAGCCAAAUACUAAUAGAUAUGAAAACACUGAUAUUUUCAUGCCCACACCUAUGCUGAUGUGCUAUCCACUGGAAAGGUCUAGAACACUGAGAGAUGAGUAGUAGUAUGCAUACCCAAAUUCUACAUCCUCAACUGAAGUUGCUCAGAAAAGUGGAUAGAUCCAGGGCCAGGGAAGAAAAUACAUGUAAAGAAAAAAAGGGAAAGAAAAAA